GCCAAUGUGCCAUAGUGGUUUGAGUGUUGGACUAGGACUCUGAGGGUCAGGGUUCGAUUCCCAGUUUGGCC